AAGACUAUCCUUUCAGGGAUCAUUUCUAUAGUUGGUUACUAGAGAAGUUUCUCUGAAUGUGUAGAGUACCCGAAGCCACGAGGAGGUGCAGUGUCCCUGAGCGUGAAGCUGACUUUGGGCGUUGUUUCAGGCAGCUGCCUUUUGUCAUUGAUCUUUCUUCUCUUCCUAGGGGAGGAAGAGGGAAGGGAUACCGUCUGAGUGGU
rnacentral:snoRNA from 1 species